rnacentral:tRNA from 1 species
GGAUUGUGGCACAGUGGUAGCGCACUUGCCUAGCAUGCAUGAGGCACUGGGUUCAAUUCUCAGCACCA